rnacentral:rRNA from 1 species
AGUGAACGCUGGCGGUAGGCCUAACACAUGCAAGUUGAACGGCAGCACAGUAAGAGCUUGCUCUUACGGGUGGCGAGUGGCGGACGGGUGAGGAAUACAUCGGAAUCUACUUUUUCGUGGGGGAUAACGUAGGGAAACUUACGCUAAUACCGCAUACGACCUACGGGUGAAAGCAGGGGAUCUUCGGACCUUGCGCGAUUGAAUGAGCCGAUGUCGGAUUAGCUAGUUGGCGGGGUAAAGGCCCACCAAGGCGACGAUCCGUAGCUGGUCUGAGAGGAUGAUCAGCCACACUGGAACUGAGACACGGUCCAGACUCCUACGGGAGGCAGCAGUGGGGAAUAUUGGACAAUGGGCGCAAGCCUGGUCCAGCCAUACCGCGUGGGUGAAGAAGGCCUUCGGGUUGUAAAGCCCUUUUGUUGGGAAAGAAAAGCAGCAGGUUAAUACCCCGCUGUUCUGACGGUACCCAAAGAAUAAGCACCGGCUAACUUCGUG